UACGAAGGGGGGCUAGCGUUGCUCGGAAUCACUGGGCGUAAAGCGCACGUAGGCGGAUUGUUAAGUCAGGGGUGAAAUCCUGGAGCUCAACUCCAGAACUGCCUUUGAUACUGGCGAUCUUGAGUCCGGGAGAGGUGAGUGGAACUGCGAGUGUAGAGGUGAAAUUCGUAGAUAUUCGGAAGAACACCAGUGGCGAAGGCGGCUCACUGGCCCGGUACUGACGCUCAGGUGCGAAAGCGUGGGGAGCAAACAGG
rnacentral:rRNA from 1 species